GAUGAACGCUAGCGGCGCGCCUAACACAUGCAAGUCGAGCGAAAUUAGUUGGUAGCUUGCUACUGACUGAUUUAGCGGCAAACGGGUGAGGAAUACGUUGGUACCUACCCUUAAGUCAGGGAUAACCCACCGAAAGGUGGACUAAUACCGGAUAGUCUCUACGGAGUAAAGCAGCAAUGCGCUUAAGGAAGGGCCUGCGUCCUAUCAGCUAGUUGGUGAGGUAAUGGCUCACCAAGGCAAUGACGGGUAACUGGUCUGAGAGGACGGCCAGUCACAAUGGAACUGAGACACGGUCCAUACUCCUACGGGAGGCAGCAGUGAGGAAUCUUCCGCAAUGGACGAAAGUCUGACGGAGCGACGCCGCGUGAAGGAUGAAGGGUUUAUUCUUGUAAACUUCUUUUCUCUAGGAAGAUAAUGACGGUACUAGAGGAAUAAGGGACGGCAAACUACGUGCCAGCAGCCGCGGUAAU
rnacentral:rRNA from 1 species